AUCCACUGUGUGAUACAUAAGACAAGUGUCCUUCAUAAGAAAAUUGUAAGUGUCUAUUGAUGGAAAUGCUUCUCUUUAGGGAGUUUCUUCUCUGGAGCUUUCUAGAAAUGCCACAACAAAUUGAAGAUAUGGGAAUAGAGAAAGAAAAGGAAGAUAAUUCUUCAAAAGUAGGAAGAAACAAAAGUCACCAGACCCUGAUGUUCUUGGUCACUUGAACACAGAACUUUAUGAUGGAUAAACCAAGGGAAAGAGGAGAACAGACACCAGAAACUGGCCAUGGGAAGAGUUCUCAAUAGGGCUGAUGCUAGCAGCUCAGUGAUACUUGUCCCUGCACCAAGACCUUGGCUGACAAGAAAAACCUCCAUGCAAUGGUGAUGGGUAUCUCAUUCAACCCAGCAUUCGCUUUAUCCUUGCCAGAAAGUUCCAGUGAUGGUUUAUAAAUAAGACCCCCAAACUUUACUCUU
rnacentral:lncRNA from 1 species